rnacentral:sRNA from 1 species
GCGUUUAUAUGUCUAUCGAUAUGCAAAGACAAAACAUAUGUUGUAAAAGCAUAUGGUGCGAAAAGUGAAGUGCAUUAAUUGCAAAAUUGCAACUGGAAACAGCUUACUACCAAGUACAAGAGAGUAUGUGCACUACAAGGCAGAGAUGUGUGUGAAAGCAAGCUAACUGCAAGUAUAUCAUCCAGUGGUACAAGAAGAAGUAGCUGAGAAGACUCCGCGUCCCAAACAUCGAGUAGUGCCGCUAGUUUAGUUAAGUGCGUUUGUGUUGAUAUUAGUCAGUGCACUGUAGUAUUUGUUUACUGCAUGUAU